UGGAUUUAUAGUUGAAUGCGAUCAAACUACGUCAUUUCCGAUCGGGGAUUCUAAAGUUUAGCCCAAAUCAGAUCAGAAAUAGUCAUUAAAGGUCAAAUGCUGAGCUAUUUAACCUGUAUUUGUGGUGAAUUUUCAUAAUAUGCUAUCUUAAAAAACAUAAUAAACCGGAAGGAAUUCAAAAAAUAGUGAUUUUUUUGUGAAAUAAGUGCUAUUUGUUCAGUCCUCUGCGAGCUCGUUUUUGAAAAGACCGCCAGAUGUGUAGUUACGCUAUUCGCCGCUAGGUUCACAUUGGUGACGUCACUAGUGCUGUCAAAUCCACGAUCAUUGACCACUUCGCAAGUAAAAAUGGCGGCUGCAAGCAUGGCGAGCGAAGAUUGUGCGGGAGAUUUGUUUGAUGACGAUUUGGUUGUUGAUGAAGGCAAUGGUGUGAUUCAACCCUACAUGUACGAGCCAGUAGUGGAGAGUGCGAGAGACGAUUCAGAUUCUUGUUCUGAAUCGGGAGAAGGUGAUGAUGGGGAGAUGGAGGAUGAGCGACUUGAUCGCAUAGGAAAUAUCAAUUGGUGAGUUCCAAGUGCAGUGGCAGUGCACUGUGCAUGCCAUGUGUAUAGGCGCGGCAUCAGCUGGACAUUAUAGGGGGCCUAUGCUGAUAUGAGCCAUGUCAUCAUGUGCAUGUAUUCAUGUACAUCUCCACAUAGGGCUCCAUCGUUCACGGAUCGAGUGUUGUCAGUAAACAAUUGGCGUUUUUCACCUCGAAUAUGUCGAAACCACAACGUAUCUUGAGUUGAGUGAGUUCAUUCCACAUGGUUAUUUUAUAGUGUCAUUGUGGUGUCUGCACUCCACAAGAGAAGGGGAGGGAAUCCUUGUGCUGCUCAGACUAUUCACCAGUCCAGGCCAAGAAAGAUGAGCUGAAAGUAGAGUGCAUCACGCAACACCCAGGUUUUUCCAGCACCUGUCUUGAUAGAUGGGUGCUGGAAAUGUCGAUGUAUCACUACAUCGAAGAGCAGGGACAAAUAGGCGAUGACCAGCCCAUUCACAAGUUAUAUCGAUACGUGGCCUAUAGGAACCUUGUCCGUUGGGUUUGGAAGAGGUUGGGGAGAAGGAACCGUUUGCCGCUCCCUGUUUGUGCUCGGGACAAGAUACGUGCUGCUUGGCCUGCUCCGGACAAUGACGGGUACACAGGAUUCAAGUAUCCUACGUUCAAUUGAUUUGGUGUGACCGUUCAAUUGAUCUGUGAUAGUGAACUCUGAUGGUGCUAUGAAUGAACUCUACAGUUUGUUAAACCUCGUUUUUGUUUCUUCUACAACUUUCAUCUUGUCCUGCUUGUCGUACUUUGAGCACACUGGACCUGGAAUAGGAUGAGUCACUUGGUACUUGUCCUUUGCAUCUCUUGCCAAUUUGUAAGAUGGCAGGUCAUCUCUCCGCUUCAGCAGGUCCUCCAGAAUUAGCUGUACAUAGUCUGAAAACAUAAAGGGAAGUAUUAAUACAA